UACGGAGGGUGCGAGCGUUGUCCGGAAUCACUGGGCGUAAAGAGCGCGUAGGCGGCCGUGUAAGUCCGCUCUGAAAGUCGGAGGCUCAACCUCCGAAAGCGGGUGGAUACUGCACGGCUAGAGUCCGGAAGAGGCGAGUGGAAUUCCUGGUGUAGCGGUGGAAUGCGCAGAUAUCAGGGAGGAACACCAACGGGCGAAGGCAGCUCGCUGGGACGGUACUGACGCGUGGAGGCGCGAAAGCGUGGGGGAGCAAACAGG
rnacentral:rRNA from 1 species